rnacentral:ncRNA from 1 species
AGAACUCAUAGAGGUCCGGGAGAAAAAGAAGGAAAAAGCAAAGUCGUGUGCGAAAGCGGCAAAGUAUGUUUGGGGCAAGCAUGACGCUAAUUUUGAUUACAUAGGCAACUGUGGUUUGGAAUCCCAGGGUGGGGAAAUGAAAAGGUUGUUAUCUGUGUGUUAAACAAUAUAUCAGCUGGCACAGUAUUGGGUAGCCUGUGGUCAGGGGUUCGAAUCUAGAAUCCUGUAAACAUCUUGGUAUGAAAAUACUAAUUAUGUACAUGAUGCUUGGAGGUGUAGGAUAGUCUAAAAGGGUGUCGUCAAAUUAAAAAAAAAUCCGUCUUGAAACACGGACCAAGGAGUCUAACAUGUGCGCGAGCCGCGGGGCAGUACGAAACCCGUAAGGCGAAAUGAAGGUGAACGCCGGCGCGGUCCGGCGGAGGUUGGAUCCCGUCCCGUCGGGGCGGGCGCACUACCGGCCGAUCUUCUCCGCCCUGUCGGCGAGGUCGAGCGAGAGCGUGCAAGUCGGGACCCGAAAGAUGGUGAACUAUGCCUGAGGAGGUUGAAGCCAGAGGAAACUCUGGUGGAGGACCGUAGCGAUUCUGACGUGCAAAUCGAUCGUCAAAUUUGGGUAUAGGGGCGAAAGACUAAUCGAACCGUCUAGUAGCUGGUUCCCUUCGAAGUUUCCCUCAGGAUAGCUGGCGCUCUGUCGCAGUUUUAUCUGGUAAAGCGAAUGAUUAGAGGUCUUGGGGGCGAAACGCCCUCAACCUAUUCUCAAACUUUAAAUUGGUAAGAAGCCCGACUCGCUCGUUUGGAGCCGGGCAUGGAAUGCGAGUGCCAAGUGGGCCACUCUUGGUAAGCAGGACUGGCGAUGCGGGAUGAACCGAACGCCGGGUUAAGGCGCCCGACGCGACGCUCAUCAGAGCCCACAAAAGGUGUUGGUUGAUAUAGACAGCAGGACGGUGGCCAUGGAAGUCGGAACCGCUAAGGAGUGUGUAACAACUCACCUGCCGAAUCA